rnacentral:rRNA from 1 species
GAACGGGUGAGUAACACGUGGGUGAUCUGCCCUGCACUUUGGGAUAAGCCUGGGAAACUGGGUCUAAUACCGAAUAUGACCAUGCGCCUCCUGGUGUGUGGUGGAAAGCUUUUGCGGUGUGGGAUGGGCCCGCGGCCUAUCAGCUUGUUGGUGGGGUAAUGGCCUACCAAGGCGACGACGGGUAGCCGGCCUGAGAGGGUGACCGGCCACACUGGGACUGAGAUACGGCCCAGACUCCUACGGGAGGCAGCAGUGGGGAAUAUUGCACAAUGGGCGCAAGCCUGAUGCAGCGACGCCGCGUGAGGGAUGACGGCCUUCGGGUUGUAAACCUCUUUCAGCACAGACGAAGCGCAAGUGACGGUAUGUGCAGAAGAAGGACCGGCCAACUACGUGCCAGCAGCCGCGGUAAUACGUAGGGUCCGAGCGUUGUCCGGAAUUACUGGGCGUAAAGAGCUCGUAGGUGGUUUGUCGCGUUGUUCGUGAAAACUCACAGCUUAACUGUGGGCGUGCGGGCGAUACGGGCAGACUUGAGUACUGCAGGGGAGACUGGAAUUCCUGGUGUAGCGGUGGAAUGCGCAGAUAUCAGGAGGAACACCGGUGGCGAAGGCGGGUCUCUGGGCAGUAACUGACGCUGAGGAGCGAAAGCGUGGGGAGCGAACAGGAUUAGAUACCCUGGUAGUCCACGCCGUAAACGGUGGGUACUAGGUGUGGGUUUCCUUCCUUGGGAUCCGUGCCGUAGCUAACGCAUUAAGUACCCCGCCUGGGGAGUACGGCCGNCAGGCUAAAACUCAAAGAAAUUGACGGGGGCCCGCACAAGCGGCG